rnacentral:misc_RNA from 1 species
ACUUUACAAUGAGGACAAGACUGUCGUUGUCACGGUUAAUGGAGAGAUAUAUAACCAUAAGCAAUUGCGGGAAAAAUUGAAGUCUCAUCAGUUCCGAACUGGUAGUGACUGUGAAGUGAUUGCCCAUCUUUACGAAGAAUAUGGAGAAAGUUUUGUGCACAUGUUAGAUGGCAUGUUCUCCUUCGUCCUUCUUGAUACCCGUGACAAAAGUUUCAUUGCAGCUCGGGAUGCCAUUGGUAUUACCCCACUUUAUUUGGGCUGGGGUCUUGAUGGAUCUGUAUGGUUUGCUUCAGAAAUGAAAGCAUUGAGUGAUGAUUGUGAACGAUUCAUGUCUUUCCCUCCGGGGCAUUUAUAUUCAAGCAAAGAAGGAGGACUUAGGAGGUGGUAUAACCCACCAUGGUGUUCAGAGCAAAUACCUUCAGCGCCAUAUGAUCCCCUAGUUUUACGGGAGGCCUUUGAGAAGGCUGUGAUCAAGAGACUUAUGACAGAUGUACCAUUUGGUGUACUUCUAUCUGGAGGACUGGACUCAUCACUUGUUGCAGCUGUGACUUGUCGUCAUCUGGCUGAUUCAGAAGCUGCUUGCCAGUGGGGAUCACAAUUACAUACCUUUUGCAUUGGUUUGAAGGGUUCUCCUGAUCUGAAAGCUGCAAGGGAGGUAGCAGACUAUCUCCAAACUCGUCACCAUGAGUUUCACUUUACUGUGCAGGAAGGAAUUGAUGCUCUUGAGGAAGUCAUUUACCAUAUUGAAACAUAUGAUGUGACGACUAUUAGGGCCAGCACUCCAAUGUUUCUUAUGUCACGAAAAAUCAAAUCCUUAGGAGUUAAAAUGGUUAUUUCUGGGGAAGGUUCAGAUGAAAUCUUUGGAGGUUACUUGUAUUUUCACAAGGCACCUAACAAGGAAGAGUUUCACCAAGAGACAUGUCGGAAGAUCAAGGCUCUUCAUCUUUAUGAUUGCUUGAGGGCAAAUAAAUCGACUUCAGCAUGGGGUGUUGAGGCUCGUGUACCCUUUUUGGACAAAGAGUUCAUCAACAUUGCAAUGAGCAUAGAUCCAGAGUGGAAAAUGAUCAGGUCUGAUCUUAAAAGGAUAGA